UACGUAGGGGGCUAGCGUUGUCCGGAAUCAUUGGGCGUAAAGAGCGUGUAGGCGGCUCGGUAAGUCCGCUGUGAAAGUCCAGGGCUCAACCCUGGAAUGCCGGUGGAAACUGUCGAGCUAGAGUCCGGAAGAGGUGAGUGGAAUUCCUGGUGUAGCGGUGAAAUGCGCAGAUAUCGGGAGGAACACCUAUGGCGAAGGCAGCUCGCUGGGACGUUACUGACGCUGAGACGCGAAAGCGUGGGGAGCAAACAGG
rnacentral:rRNA from 1 species